GCCUGGCUGGCUCAGUUGGUAAGCAUCUGACUCUUGAUCUCAGGGUUGUGAGUUUGAGCCUCAUGUUGGGUA
rnacentral:tRNA from 1 species